rnacentral:tRNA from 1 species
GCCUGGAUAGCUCAGUUGGUAGAGCAUCAGACUUUUAAUUCUGAGGGUCCAGGGUUCAAGUCCCUUGUCAGGCU